UGGGAGGGGAGUGAAAUAGAUCCUGAAACCGCACGCAUACAAGCAGUGGGAGCACCGUCGUGGUGUGACUGAGUACCUUUUGUAUAAUGGGCCAGCGACUUAUAUUCUGUAGCAAGGUUAACCGUAUAGGGGAGCCGCAGGGAAACCGAGUCUUAACUGUGCUUUAAGUUGCAGGGUAUAGACCCGAAACCCGGUGAUCUAGCCAUGGGCAGGUUGAAGGUUGGGUAACACUAACUGGAGGACCGAACCGACUAAUGUUGAAAAAUUAGCGGAUGACUUGUGGCUGGGGGUGAAAGGCCAAUCAAACCGGGAGAUAGCUGGUUCUCCCCGAAAGCUAUUUAGGUAGCGCCUCGUGAACUCAUCUACGGGGGUAGAGCACUGUUUCGGCU
rnacentral:rRNA from 1 species